GAAAAAUGCAGAUUGCGCGAUUCCCGAUGUUCGAGAACGAGCUUCGAAUCCAUUUGGGGAAGUUCAGUAUGUGGGGCAGGAUUCCGAAGCUGCGUGGAAUAUUACUUCGCGAUUAGGUAUCGAAUUCGAUUCGCAUUGAUUCCUGUUCUAUAGAACAGUUUCGUCGCGGUUUUUGUAUCUGAUGAAGUAC